CCUACGGGUGGCAGCAGUGAGGAAUAUUGGUCAAUGGACGCAAGUCUGAACCAGCCAUGCCGCGUGCAGGAAGACGGCUCUAUGAGUUGUAAACUGCUUUUGUACGAGGGUAAACGCAGCUACACGUAUCUAUCAGAAAGUAUCUUACGAAUAACGAUCGGCUAACGCCGUUCCAGCAGCCGCGGUAAUACGGAGGAUUCAAGCGUUAUCCGGAUUUAUUGGGGGUAAAGGGUGCGUAGGCGGUCGGAUAAGUUAGAGGUGAAAUCCCGAGGCUCAAAUUCGGAAUUGCAUUUGAUACUGUGCGGCUAGAGAGUAGGUGAGGUAGGCGGAAUGUAUGGUGUAGCGGUGAAAUGCUUAGAGAUCAUACAGAACACCGAUUGCGAAGGCAGCUUACCAAGCUACUUCUGACGUUGAGGCACGAAAGCGUGGGGAGCAAACAGGAUUAGAUACCCUGGUAGUC
rnacentral:rRNA from 1 species